rnacentral:rRNA from 1 species
UUAUCGGAGAGUUUGAUCCUGGCUCAGGACGAACGCUGGCGGCGUGCCUAAUACAUGCAAGUCGAGCGGACAGAUGGGAGCUUGCUCCCUGAUGUUAGCGGCGGACGGGUGAGUAACACGUGGGUAACCUGCGUGUCAUACUGGGCCACGGUCUGGAUACCGGGCG